AAAAACAUGCAUUUCUAAUGAAUUUGAAUAAUGAAAUUUUGUAAAACGCCAAAACCAUUAUUUACGAUAAUGGAAAAUAAAAUGACGGCCUGUUAUCGUCAACCAGUAUAAUCACAGUAUAUCUUCAUUAAGCGGAAAUGCAAAAUUGGUUGUUUUGCGUUACGCCCCCUUUAAACAACAAUGUAUAUGUACGAAAAUAGAAACAUAAAAAGUUCAUAGAUAAUUAUACUGUU
rnacentral:lncRNA from 1 species